rnacentral:rRNA from 1 species
ANNUUAGAGUUUGAUCCUGGCUCAGAUUGAACGCUGGCGGCAUGCCUUACACAUGCAAGUCGAACGGCAGCACGGGAGCAAUCCUGGUGGCGAGUGGCGAACGGGUGAGUAAUAUAUCGGAACGUGCCCAGUCGUGGGGGAUAACGUAGCGAAAGCUACGCUAAUACCGCAUACGAUCUAUGGAUGAAAGCGGGGGAUCGCAAGACCUCGCGCGAUUGGAGCGGCCGAUAUCAGAUUAGGUAGUUGGUGGGGUAAAGGCUCACCAAGCCGACGAUCUGUAGCUGGUCUGAGAGGACGACCAGCCACACUGGGACUGAGACACGGCCCAGACUCCUACGGGAGGCAGCAGUGGGGAAUUUUGGACAAUGGGCGCAAGCCUGAUCCAGCAAUGCCGCGUGCAGGAUGAAGGCCUUCGGGUUGUAAACUGCUUUGAUCGGAGC